AAUAGAAUCAGGGAGAUGUACAUCUCAUUAAAUAAAAUAAACAAAAUAAAUAGGCUGAUACUUUUCCAUGAUACACCACCCCUCUGCCAGGUGUCCGUCGCUGAGGGUUUUCAGCUUGUUCUUCUGAAUCCAACACCCAGGGGUUUAAAUCCGUGGCGGCAGGCGAAGUAGCCCAACGAGGACGUUCAAUAGCAAUAAACACUGGCUGCGGUUUGGUUGAAGGCACCCCCAGAUCCGCACCCUUCCUCACCUCCUUGCGACGUUUCGUUACGGAAAAGAAACCGGUGUCCCGUGCUCUCGAGUACUUUACUGAGCGAGGACGACUUCCGAUCCCACCGCCUCCAGGGGGAGAGAGAGAGAGCAGAGCCAAACGGAGCG